rnacentral:hammerhead_ribozyme from 1 species
AUCUAGCUGACGAGUCCCAAAUAGGACGAUACGAGCGUUCUGGAU